rnacentral:rRNA from 1 species
CCUACGGGGGGCAGCAGUGGGGAAUAUUGGACAAUGGGGGGAACCCUGAUCCAGCCAUGCCGCGUGUGUGAAGAAGGCCCUCGGGUUGUAAAGCACUUUCAGUGAGGAAGAACGCCUGGUGGUUAAUACCCAUCAGGAAAGACAUCACUCACAGAAGAAGCACCGGCUAACUCCGUGCCAGCAGCCGCGGUAAUACGGAGGGUGCGAGCGUUAAUCGGAAUUACUGGGCGUAAAGCGCGCGUAGGUGGCUUGAUAAGCCGGUUGUGAAAGCCCCGGGCUCAACCUGGGAACGGCAUCCGGAACUGUCAAGCUAGAGUGCAGGAGAGGAAGGUAGAAUUCCCGGUGUAGCGGUGAAAUGCGUAGAGAUCUGGAGGAAUACCAGUGGCGAAGGCGGCCUUCUGGACUGACACUGACACUGAGGUGCGAAAGCGUGGGUAGCAAACAGGAUUAGAUACCCGGGUAGUC